rnacentral:lncRNA from 1 species
AUCCUACUCGUGACUUAGCAUUGCCACAUAGUUCAAGUAUGCACAAUAUGGAUUUGAAGAUGGAUCUCUAUCCUUUGUGUAUAACCUGGCAGGUGUACAAGUAUCAACAUGUCAUAGCAUUUUUGUGUAAACCCUUGUGAAAGUUCUGUCCUUUGUGAGAUACAGAUCUAGGAGAACCAACAUGCAGAAGUGCUUAACAGAAAAUAGCAGGGCUGAAGAGAAGAUACACACAUGCUAAGAAACAGUGUUUAAAUUCUUCUAAGGUUUGAUAAGACGAGACUGAUGGUCCAACUGAACCUGCAAAAACUGACAGAACUCCAAAUUGUACUGAACUUGUUCAAAGCAACUGGUACCCAGGAAGGUGGAGACUGCCCUACCUACAGGCCACUCUACCAGUUGGCCUCCAUCUGUUAUUCCAUGCACAUAACUCAAGUGAUUAUCACCUUCAAUUGAACUGAAGGAGACAGCGAGGCAGACUCACAUACAUUGUAAGUACAGGGAAAAGGAAGCAGUGACUGUGUACUACUGGAUUUAACACAUUUUAUUACUGUAUGGUGUAAUAAUAUGUUUUUUUUUCCUUCUCCAAACUUCUGCUUUUGCUAUUGUUUUCCUGCUAAGGAGGAAUAUUUGUUUGUAUAUGAGAAGUCUACUGCCUCCGACUGGCCUAUUUUUAACAAUAUUGCUUAUUACAAUGCUACAUUUUGAAUCUCUUUGACCACAAUGUAAGAUGUUCUACUUAAAGCUUUCUUGAUGUUAUUGCACUGAGAGAAUUUACUUUAGUAGCCCUAAAAGCCAUUCCAGGAAUAAGACUUGAUCCUACACUCAAUUACCUGUCCACAUUCCAUCAAACAUCUGAAAAGAGGUUAAACAAAAUAGAAGGACAACCAGGCCUUAGAUUAGACAGUAAAUGUUCUCUGGGAAUUGACUUUCUUCUUUCCCCUUAACGCAGCAAAAAUGCCAGCAUGCAUCUUGGCAGUAUCAAAACUAGCUUCACUUUCAUGACUGCCAUUCUGUUUUACAAACUCAAUUAUCAAUCAUUUUAAUUUCACUGUAAUUUAUAUUAAAAAUAAAAAUGAAGAGGAGGACUCA